rnacentral:tRNA from 1 species
GGGCUCGUAGCUUAGUUUGGGAGAGCACUGGUCUUAUAAGCCAGAGGUCCGGAGUUCAAAUCUCCGCGAGCCCA